rnacentral:lncRNA from 1 species
AAUUCAUAAAGUCAUACUGUAAAAUCAAUGAAAAGUACUUUAAAAAAUUGUAAAUUUCAUAUGUUGUGGUUACACUGAUCUUUUCUUUGAACAUUUCUGCUGUGAAAUUCUUUUUUUUAAUACAAUGAUUUAAUACCUGCAUUUGGAGACUUAAACUUCUUACAGAUGCUAAUUAAUUAAUUAGGCAAAUAGGUUUGAGGGUAGUUAUGAAGUAGUAAUUUCAGUUUGUGCUCUUCCAGUAACUCAGCAUGACUUUCACUCUCAUUUCUAGCAGAUAUUACAGUGAGAGAUGAGCAUUUCAGUUUGCAGCUGACAGUUUAGGGUUAAGAUAUGAUUCCAGGUAACAGAAGCCAAUGAGAGUACACCCAGUUGAUGUUUGUGACAUCAUCUUCCAGUCGGAGUACAUAGAACAGCUGAGGUAGCGUUCAGUUUCAGCCCCAGUGCCAUUAUGAUGGAUGUUUACAUCUCUUCAUUGAGAGCCAAUUAUCUCGCUUUUGUGUGAGGCCCAAGGAUCACUCAUGCUGCCUGGCUGCACAGAGCACUGUUGGAUCUAGCUGAACGAAUUGUUUUCUGUCUCUGCAUUUCCUCAGUAAGUGGAUCCCUCUGAACCUUCUUCACUACUGACCUCCCAGCAUAAAUCUCCAUUAAAGAAAUGCCUGAGGAAGUGAAGAAGAUAUCUUAAGAAAGUCAUCUUCCACUGAUCUUGCUAUGAGAUAUGAAUAUGGGGAAGAAGCUGAACCAACUGAAGCAGUAGUCUUGGUCUGCUCAACAAGCCUGAUGAAAGAAAAGGUUUUAAUAGGUCAUUUGAAAAUGUUUAAUAAAUGAUAUAUUGCUUAUAAUUUUACUACAACCUCAUAUCAUAAAUAUAACUAAUAUUCACUUUCUGUUUACAACCUGCUAGACACUAUGAUAAACAUUUUAAAUUUUCUCCUUUUACUCCUAGAAGUCCUAAGAAAUGUAAAUGAUUUAUUAUCACUAUUUUCUUAAUAAGGAAGCCUAGGAUUAGUUAGGAAGUUCACAAUGCUAGUAAGUGAUAGAUCUGGAAAGUAAUGUUAAAGUAGGUGAUUUAUUUAUUCAAAAAAUUAAAUUAAAUUAUUCCAAAAAUUUCAUUCAUACUGUUUUGUUAAAUACAUACAUUUCCAUUUUGUUAACCUGUUUGUAGGUAUUUAUGCACUUAUAUAUGUUAUGUGUGUUUUCUACAUAUUUUUGUUUAUAAUAAACUAUAUAUCCACACUCAUUCUUCCUGUCUGUGAUGAUAGAUAGAUGAUAGAUUUAAAGAUUGGGCUAAUGGGAUAUGUAACAUAUUUAUCUUACUAAAAGUAAGACUUUCCCAAGUAUACAAUAUAAAAGACUUUUCCUCU